GAUGAACGCUGGCGGCGUGCCUAAUACAUGCAAGUCGAGCGAACGGACGAGAAGCUUGCUUCUCUGAUGUUAGCGGCGGACGGGUGAGUAACACGUGGAUAACCUACCUAUAAGACUGGGAUAACUUCGGGAAACCGGAGCUAAUACCGGAUGAUAUUUUGAACCGCAUGGUUCAAAAGUGAAAGACGGUCUUGCUGUCACUUAUAGAUGGAUCCGCGCUGCAUUAGCUAGUUGGUAAGGUAACGGCUUACCAAGGCAACGAUGCAUAGCCGACCUGAGAGGGUGAUCGGCCACACUGGAACUGAGACACGGUCCAGACUCCUACGGGAGGCAGCAGUAGGGAAUCUUCCGCAAUGGGCGAAAGCCUGACGGAGCAACUCCGCGUGAGUGAUGAAGGUCUUCGGAUCGUAAAACUCUGUUAUUAGGGAAGAACAUAUGUGUAAGUAACUGUGCACAUCUUGACGGUACCUAAUCAGAAAGCCACGGCUAACUACGUG
rnacentral:rRNA from 1 species